UUUUUUUUUUUUUUUUUUUUUUUAACCAUAGGUCUUCUCUUCCUUAACGUUAGAAAUCUAUCAUUUAAUCAUCUAUCUGUAUAUCACCUAUAGAUUUUCUUUCUAUUUAUUUAUCCAUCCAUCCAUCAUCUACGCAUGUGAUUUUUCUCCUUCAUGUCCAUAAACAUUUUACACACUCUUUGGAAAUGCCAUUGUAAAGAUGCAGAAUUAAUUUUUUGAAGCCCUAAGUUAAAGGAGAUGUAUGUCCAGGGAGCCUGCCUACCCUCAAAGAGAAAGGAGAGCAAACAAACGCUACUUUUAAUGUCCAGGUGAUCUGACUAUUUCAGGCCACCUUAUCUCUCACACACAUUAAGUUUAAAGAAUUGGGAAGGAACGUGGGUUUCUGGAGAUGUGGCUCAGGGGUGGGACGGGUUCCCAGGCUCACACUCAGACUCCUCGUCCCAAACCAGCCCUUCUUGUCACCUCUGGCCAGCUUCGAUCUCACUUCCAUCUUGGUCCAGGGCCCUCUGAGGGUGUUUUGGCCUUUUUCUCUUCCUACAUCGCCUCUCCACACUUCACUCCUGUUCCUCACACAACAGAUACCCUCUUCCGUGGAAAGGGAAGGGAAAGUGCAAACACUUUUGAUGUAUUUUAAAAACUUCUCAUGUGAUGAAAAUCGAAUUAGUCCCCAAAAGUACUGAUAUAUUGUGAAUAAGCCCUGUUUAUUUGUGUUUCUUCAAAUCAUUUAAAGUUAAUAUGCUGAAUUUCAUAGAGUAAGGACCUCUGUAUUUUAUCUAUCAGUCACCUUAGGUACCAGAGAGAAAUAAAAUGCUGCCAAUACUGCUGUAAGCCCCACUGGUGGUGAGAGGUCUUCCAAUUUUAGGGAUAUCAAAAUAUGAAAAAGGGCACCUUAGGAAUAAUGAAAUGUAAUAGUCUUUUAAAUAUAUUCUACAAGUAGUGUAUAUAUUUUUAGACAGCCGCAUUGAUAGAAACAUUCCACAAAUGAAUUUGUCCUUUCUAGACCAGUUUCUCUUCCAAUGUGGACCAUGGAUCAUCUGUAAUAGAACUAUCUGGGGUGGCUCAUUAAAAAUACAGAUUUCUGGGCCCCUAUGCAGGCCCAUUAGAGCAGAAUCUUGUGGAAUUUCUGGGCAGCACUAUUUUGUAAACCUUUCAGAAGAUUCUAAUAAUCAGCCAGAGAAGAGAACUUAAAAGUGGUCCAAGACCAAUAGCAAUUUGGAUUCUUCUUAGAAAUAUAGAACCUUGACCCCCCAGCCCAGACCCAAUGAAGCAAAAGCUGCAUAUGAACCUCAUGCCCAGGUAAUUCACAGGGACACUGAAAUUAGAGAAGCCUCAUACCCCGUACCCCAUGUUUCUCAGAGUGUGGUUUCUGGACUGGCAGCUGCAGCCUCUGCAGGAACCUGUUAAAAAUGCAGAUUCCCCCCCCCUUUUUUUUUGUCUUUUAGGGCCACACCUACGGCAUAUGGAGGCGUGGCCCUAAAAGGCAGGAAAAAAAGAGUUUAAAGUGGGAUGCUGAGUGGUGACCAAAGGCAGAGAGACAUCCAUAUGGUGUCUUCAAAACACAAUGAUUUACCACCAGCUUGUCACCAAUAGCACUUACUAGGGAUAAGAAGCGACUCAGGUGAUUCAAAAUAACUCUUAGGAAAUCUCUGACUUUGGAAGAUCUCAUAAGAAUCAUAUUUUAAACUUUCCAGUAAAUGCCUGCUGCUUCUCAACAUGCCCUUUUUAUUAUCCCCGGCAUUCCAUGACUAUAUUGUUUAUGCCAGGAUUUUGCUUAAUUAAGCGCCACGACAAGAACAAUAAGAGUCAGAGAGCUGGAUGUGACACAGAGCAUCCAAGUGCAGCCCUGCUGGCAAGCUAAGGACAGACCUCACAAAAGAUGCUCCCCAGAAACCGUUCCCUUGACCGAAAGAGCCAAAGGCAAGGGGUUCUAUUCCAGGGUGAAUGAACAUAGUGGCAUUUAGAAAUGGUGUCAGGAUUUGUAUUCCAUGGCAAUGACCUAACACUGCUGCUUCAUGCAUUCCUGGAAGAG
rnacentral:lncRNA from 1 species